GCGGGCUUAGCGCAGUUGGUAGCGCGCAACCUUGCCAAGGUUGAGGUCGCGGGUUCGAACCCCGUAGCCCGCU
rfam:Atopobium vaginae PB189-T1-4 contig00032, whole genome shotgun sequence.